rnacentral:lncRNA from 1 species
CAGUCUCACAGCUGUCAGAAACCGCCACAAUUUCAUCCAGACAGGACAGCCUCACACACCAGGAGAAGCCCUUACUCAGAUCCCUCGGGGCUGACCUAGGUGGCUCCAGGGUGCGAUGGGAUAGCCUCAGAGGGAUGCUCCUCUCUGAGCUGUGAGGCUGCCACGGGGGCCCAAGAAGGGAGGACGAGAGUCUGUCCUGGUUGCCAAUCCAAGGCUGAGACCAGAGCAAAGAUGCCUGAAGAGAAAAGCCGAGCACAAGACCAGAGUCCCAAGGACCAACGUUCUCCUUCCCAGACACCUGCCUGCCACCUGGGCUCCCCUCUGGGGCUUGUUGAGUCCCUAUGACCACCCCCAGAAACGCUCACUCCUCCUCCAUCUCACCACACGUCUCAGGUGAAAAGAAUCGAAGCCACUGCACACCAAAACAG